UUGUUUUAUUUAAUAUUUUACUCAGACAAUGUCACGAUUGAUUCAAGAGUUUAGACGAGGCCACCGGCGGGCGCGGGCCAGAGGACGUUUAACGGUCCCCCGGCGGUCCAUCGAGAUAGACGGGCCCGCCGAAGCAACGAACAAGUUUAGUAAACAUAGGGUGGGAGGUCGGGCCUAGAAGACCCUAACUCUUUAAUGAUCCUUCCGCAGGUUCACCUACGGAAA
rnacentral:misc_RNA from 1 species